rnacentral:rRNA from 1 species
UGGGGAAUCUUGCGCAAUGGCCGAAAGGCUGACGCAGCGACGCCGCGUGCGGGAGGACGCUUUUCGGAGUGUAAACCGCUGUCGGGUGGGACGAAGGUCCGGGGGAGGAAAUGCUCUCGGGAUGACGGUACCACCAGAGGAAGCACCGGCUAACUUCGUGCCAGCAGCCGCGGUAAUACGAAGGGUGCAAGCGUUGUUCGGAAUUAUUGGGCGUAAAGCGCACGUAGGCGGUUGGGUAAGUCUGUCUGUGAAAGCCCGGGGCUCAACCCCGGGACUGCAGGGGAUACUGCUCGACUGGAGACAAGCAGAGGUUGGUAGAAUUCCGGGUGUAGCGGUGGAAUGCGUAGAGAUCCGGAGGAAUACCAGAGGCGAAGGCGGCCAACUGGGCUUGUUCUGACGCUGAGGUGCGAAAGCGUGGGGAGCGAACAG